UACGUAGGGUGCGAGCGUUAAUCGGAAUUACUGGGCGUAAAGCGUGCGCAGGCGGUUUUGUAAGCCAGAUGUGAAAGCCCCGGGCUCCAACCUGGGAAUGGCAUUUGGGACUGCAAGGCUUGAGUGCGGCAGAGGAGACUGGAAUUCCUGGUGUAGCAGUGAAAUGCGUAGAUAUCAGGAGGAACACCGGUGGCGAAGGCGGAUCUCUGGGCCUUACCUGACGCUGAGGCGCGAAAGCUAGGGGAGCGAACAGG
rnacentral:rRNA from 1 species